rnacentral:rRNA from 1 species
UAGGGAAUCUUUGGCAAUGGACGGAAGUCUGACCGAGCAACGCCGCGUGAGUGAAGAAGGUUUUCGGAUCGUAAAGCUCUGUUGUAAGAGAAGAACGAGUGUGAGAGUGGAAAGUUCACACUGUGACGGUAUCUUACCAGAAAGGGACGGCUAACUACGUGCCAGCAGCCGCGGUAAUACGUAGGUCCCGAGCGUUGUCCGGAUUUAUUGGGCGUAAAGCGAGCGCAGGCGGUUAGAUAAGUCUGAAGUUAAAGGCUGUGGCUUAACCAUAGUAGGCUUUGGAAACUGUUUAACUUGAGUGCAAGAGGGGAGAGUGGAAUUCCAUGUGUAGCGGUGAAAUGCGUAGAUAUAUGGAGGAACACCGGUGGCGAAAGCGGCUCUCUGGCUUGUAACUGACGCUGAGGCUCGAAAGCGUGGGGAGCAAACAGGAUUAGAUACCCUGGUAGUCCACGCUGUAAACGAUGAGUGCUAGGUGUUAGACCCUUUCCGGGGUUUAGUGCCGUAGCUAACGCAUUAAGCACUCCGCCUGGGGAGUACGACCGCAAGGU